GGUUCGGUGGUGUAGUUGGUUAUCACGUCAGUCUAACAUUCACUCCAAUGGAUGUCGCGCACUGAAGGUCCCGAGUUCAAACCUCGGCUGAAUCA